CUCCACCAUGUGAUUUACAUGUUUGUUUGAUUGCUUAAGGAAAUUUGAUAGGAUUUAACAUGUAUGUAUGCCAUAGAUUGUACCAUGGGUUGCUUGUAUGAAUUUAACAUGUAUGUAUGUGGUUGUAACAACAAUGAGCUAAUUAGAUUCUUUCAUGUGCUUCUUUUAUUUCUCAAAAUUCCCGCAUCUCCAUACUUACAAGAUGUUGAUGGAUUGAGUUUGUGGUAAGCCCAGUUUGUGUUUGAAACAGGUGGAGAAUUUGUCUACAAACUCUGCCUCCACAGCCUGAUACUAGAGGAGCCACAUGAAUAGGCAUGCAUCGUAAGAAGAAAUGGAGGGACGACCAGGAAGAUAAAGAAGGAGAUGCCGAGAGGUUGAUGGGCGACGACGAGGAUAGAUGACAUGGAUGGAUUAUGGCCGGCCACAGAUAUCACUGCCACAAUUGCAAGCUUUGUGCUUGAACAACCAUGGUGGUUCCAGUCAUGCUCCAAGUGCCACAGAUCACCUACCUCAUAUGGAUCAGAGCACCGAUGCGGUGGAGGCUCUUUUCUGAUCAAAGCUUAUCCAAGCUGAUGCCAUCCAAUUUCUUGCAAAGGAUGUAAAAAUUAUCACAGAACCUUCAGAUUUUCUUAUUAAAGCUAGCAAGCCGUACCAGCCAUUUCAUGAAUACAACCUUAAAGUUGACAUCUGCAGUCAACCA